rnacentral:rRNA from 1 species
CGGAAUUAUUGGGCGUAAAGCGCGCGCAGGCGGUCCUUUAAGUCUGAUGUGAAAGCCCACGGCUCAACCGUGGAGGGUCAUUGGAAACUGGGGGACUUGAGUGCAGGAGAGAAGAGUGGAAUUCCACGUGUAGCGGUGAAAUGCGUAGAGAUGUGGAGGAACACCAGUGGCGAAGGCGACUCUUUGGCCUGUAACUGACGCUGAGGCGCGAAAGCGUGGGGAGCAAACAGGAUUAGAUACCCUGGUAGUCCACGCCGUAAACGAUGAGUGCUAAGUGUUAGAGGGUUUCCGCCCUUUAGUGCUGAAGUAAACGCAUUAA